GGGUCUCUAGCGAAGUCUGGUUAAACGCAGCGGACUGUAAAUCCGCCCUCUUUCGAGUUCGGGGGUUCAAAUCCCUCGGGGCCCA
rnacentral:tRNA from 1 species